rnacentral:pre_miRNA from 1 species
CUUAGAUUAUUUCAUAGUUCGGUUUGUAGAAUACCAUCUUCGAGUUCUUGAUUAAUCACUCAUCUGCAAUUGAUGGCAACAGGAUGCUCGAUCUUCCAUCAGGUAAAGAUAACUCUUGAUUUGGCGAAAACUUGUCACACAUGAUUUGACUUUCGAUCAACACGAUCUAAACUUGCAAUUUCAGCACCAUGUCUUUUCUAGUUACCAACCGUGCCGAAAUCUGAUUGGCCUUCACUGAGAAGGCUAAUCCUUGCAUGCGAAUCGAAGAAUACAAGCAAGAAAAAGGUAGAUUGUAGCUCAAUUGCAGAUGAAUGAUUUAGCACUCGAAGUUGGGGUUCUACAAACCGAACUAGUGGUGAA